rnacentral:tRNA from 3 species
GCGCGAUUAGCUCAGUGGUAGAGCACCUGCUUCACACGCAGGGGGUCGCUGGUUCGAACCCAGCAUCGCGCACCA